UCACAGUAAAGCUUUGUGCCUGUGGGCAUGUACAGAAUGCUUUUUCUUUUCAGCUGGUACUUGCCACUGGUCUCUUGAAUUUGAGGGAGAGAUGGGACUUGUCAUUCCUGCUCAAAACAGUGGGAGAAUCCUCCAAACAUCUUCACUUUUGGGAGCACUGAUGUGAGGGAGUCACAGAAAUCAGAGAGAUGCCAAGUGGCGCUUGUUGCCCUCUUGGAUGGCUUUGGCCAGCUGGUGCAUCUUCUGCAAAGAGAAGGAAAGUUGCCAUUGAGGGCAGGACCAAUUAGUUGAGGGGGGGGGUGCAGCCAUGGAUGUUUGCAGGGCAAUAGGGUGGAGAGAACUUCCCUUUUGCCCCUAGCCAACUUGGCUGGUGAUUUCCUAGGCCACUCACUUGCGCCCUCCUGUUGCAUUGCAAGCAGGAGGCAGGGAAAGGCUGCCACCACUGCUGCUGUUCUGCUUGAAACCUGAAGGGGAUAAAUGCCCAUGGCUCCUCUCUCUCUAUGGGGUGCCCUCCUUGCCUGCUCUAUGAUGCCACCCCAGCCCUAAAUGAAAGAACCCCCCCUUUCCUCCUCCUCCAUCACUACCGGGAGGCAUCGCACCAAUGCAGGAUGUAACUCCUGGAGGCGGUUGCCUAGCAACUGUCUCUGGCCGAUGCAGAGGCGCUCAGCUGGCGAGGAAGGAUGGGGGGGCACGAGAGCCCCUGGUUCGCACCGAAGAAGCAUCAAGAGGCGAUGAAGAAGGAGCCGAUGAGGUGCUCACUGGAGACACCUAACAGGGCUGGGGCUAACGGUGCUCAGAGAGAGUCGUUGUCGAAGGGAGGAGGGUGCCAGUGACCAAAGCCAUGGGCAGCUGUGGGCAAGCAGAGUGCCAGAGCAGCACAUUGAGGAAGGCCGCCAGACAGCUCCCAGAGGACAGGAUCAGUCAGGACUGAGACAAGGGAAGGCUUCCUGAGCCAAUGUAUGGGAUGCCCAUGGGACUCUCCUCCCAUUCCUGAUGCAGUGCGUGCAAGUUGACCUGAAGUUGAGGGUGGAAAAGCUCAACGUGACGAUGGUGCCCGGCGUUGCAGGGGCAGGCGAAGGGCCCAGUCCUCCCAGGAUGCCAUCACUGCCACAGGAAUCCAAAGAGGAUCGAGAGGAGCGAGUCCUUGCCAUGCUGGGCAUCGUGGGCACCAUCCUUAACCUACUCGUCAUCAUCUUUGUCUACAUUUACACAACCAUUUAGGUCCCAGGUGUGGCCUGUUCUUCCACAGCAUCCUUUUGGGGUGGCUGAUGACAUCCAGAACCAGGAAUAAUGACGGCCAUGAAGGACUGGCAGCUGACCUUGUCUGGACAAGUGUGGAUUUGUGCCAGCGGUGCCCAGAAGGAUGCCUAUAUUCACCAACAUGGCUUUGCCAUUUUCAGGAACUUGCUGACCAAACUUGGUUUUGCAGCUGCCUGCUCCCACUACUGGGAUGGUGGCUGCUUGUUGGCAUUGGACAAUGCUGCCAGCUGUGUCUGAGUCUCUACAUGAAGUGCCAGGCUGCUGCACAUCCUUGGAUGCAUGGCAGCCGUUUCCACCAGGAGAGAGUCUCCAUCCUCUCCUUCCAAAUGCCAGUUGCUGGAGGAGCACUGUGUCUUGCCUGGGACACUCUGAAACAGACGUGGGGAGGGAAGGUUUGACUGCCUGGCAUUUCUACUCUCCCAAAGCCUGUCACUUGUAAAACAUCAACAAGCACAACGCAAAAUCCUUCUCUUCCCACCUCUGCCAAAGAGGCUGAAAUAGGGCAAUAGGGGGGGGAGCUUUGGGCAGGAGGCCAGGAGGUCUCCCUCUAGGGCUGAUGGAAUCUCCUUCCCAGCACUGCUGCCAUCCACAAACAUGACACCAGCCCCCCUUUCCCUUUGUGCAUUCCCCACCUGUACCCAUUGGGGCAGGUCUUUAAACUGCCAUCACCAAUGUUGAGGCUGGUGUCCUGUCUCAUGUCUCCUGAUCCUGGCCUCCUAUCAAACCAGCCCCACCUGGGACCCCCACCUAAGCUUCCCUUAGGAGUCUGCUGUAGCCUGAAAUACCCUUGAUACAUUUGGGGGAUGAAAUGAGCUUCCUUGUGCAUCCUAACCCCCCAGCCUUAAUCUGCAGCAUCCCCUCCAGGGAAUGCAAACUGGCUCUCUUAAAAGCAGCCCCUUUGGUUGCCACAUGGGGAGAGGGGAAAGGGCAGAGGGGGUAAGCCAGGUCUUUUAAUUCAAAGUGCUUUACCAAGUCCCAUAAAGCUUGGCCUUGGACAGUGCAGGGCAUCUGGAAUUCUCAGUGGAGAAUAGUCAGGCCUUUGACCAAAGGAGCAGGGCAGUACAAUGUUGCUCCCCAAGUGCUCCAUGUAGCUUUUGUGAGAAGAUGCCAGGUGUUGGGAAAGGAAGGGAGUGGGAUGGAAAAGGAUAGGAGGGAGAGAGGCAAAAUUUGGUUUGGGGAUUAGUUUUGGGAUCGGUUUCCUUGCCAAAUUUCGGCUACUUUUCUUGCAAUAUGGAACUGCAGGGAGAAGAGAAGAGAUCUGCAGUGAUCAAACGGGGCUGUAACACUCCUCCUCACCCCACGAGUUGGAAACUCAUGGGAGGGCUAAUGCUGGAAUGACCCCCAUCUUCUCCAAAAGUAUAAUCUGCAGGGACUUUUGUCUUGGGACUUACUCAGCUGCUAUUGCUUCCGUCUUCCCUGCAGGUCUGGCAGGAGGAGAACCAGCCCAGACUCUGGGAAGGCAACACAAAUCCAGGAUAACGUUUCCUCCUGUUUUUUUAAAAACAGUGACAAAUAAGCAAGCCACCCCAUUCCCACACCUUGUUCUUCCAAAGGGAGGGUUUUGCUACAACCAACUACGAAGACCGACGGGGUCGGGGAUGGGAGGGAGGGAACGCUUUGCCUUUGUGCCAGAGCAGUGCCAAAGGUGGCAACUCUCAUUUCCAGUGCUGUGCCAAGCCGGGGGUGGGAGCAGGGGAGAGAGAGAGCUGUGCUUUUCUAAGAACCGUGUUGUAAUUGUGAAAAUUUUAUAUGCAACCAAAUUUGAAAUAAUCACAACGAAAUAUUUAUGGAUGUCAAAGUGAAAGCAUUA